rnacentral:lncRNA from 1 species
UAAGACCCCGGAUUUUAUGAAAUAAAAGUAUUUAAUUUUUCUAUUUUGGUAAAUAGUUAAAUUGAUAAAAGUUUAAAGUUAGGGGUAAUAUGUGAAUUUUUUUUUUGCAAAGUAAGCAAGUUGAUAUAAAAUAUUCGUUGUGUCGGGGAAUAUUCGAUUAGUCGGGGGAUAUUUUUUUGUCGGGGAAUAUCUGUACGACGGUACAAUCAUUGGUGGACCCCACAACGGAAUUAUUGUCGGAUUGAGAAAACGACAAAAAUAUUUUUAUGAAAAUAAUG